rnacentral:rRNA from 1 species
GACGAACGCGGCGGCGUGCUUAACACAUGCAAGUCGAACGAAGAGCGAUGGAAGCUUGCUUCUAUCAAUUUAGUGGCGAACGGGUGAGUAACGCGUAAUCAACCUGCCCUUCAGAGGGGGACAACAGUUGGAAACGACUGCUAAUACCGCAUACGAUCUAAUCUGGCAUCGAGGAUAGAUGAAAGGUGGCCUCUAUGUAUAAGCUAUCACUGAAGGAGGGGAUUGCGUCUGAUUAGCUAGUUGGAGGGGUAACGGCCCACCAAGGCGAUGAUCAGUAGCCGGUCUGAGAGGAUGAACGGCCACAUUGGGACUGAGACACGGCCCAGACUCCUACGGGAGGCAGCAGUGGGGAAUCUUCCGCAAUGGACGAAAGUCUGACGGAGCAACGCCGCGUGAGUGAUGACGGCCUUCGGGUUGUAAAGCUCUGUUAAUCGGGACGAAAGGCCUUCUUGCGAAUAGUGAGAAGGAUUGACGGUAACCGGAAUAGAAAAGCC